rnacentral:rRNA from 1 species
UACGGAGGGGGCUAGCGUUGUUCGGAAUUACUGGGCGUAAAGCGCACGUAGGCGGGUCUGUAAGUAGAGGGUGAAAUCCCAGGGCUCAACCCCUGGAACUGCCUUCUAGACUGCAGGCCUCGAGGUCAGGAGAGGCGAGUGGAAUACCGAGUGUAGAGGUGAAAUUCGUAGAUAUUCGGUGGAACACCAGUGGCGAAGGCGACUCGCUGGACUGAUACUGACGCUGAGGUGCGAAAGCGUGGGGAGCAAACAGG